UACGUAGGGUGCAAGCGUUGUCCGGAAUUAUUGGGCGUAAAGAGCUCGUAGGCGGUUUGUUGCGUCGGCUGUGAAAUCCCGAGGCUCAACCUCGGGUCUGCAGUCGAUACGAGCAAACUAGAGUGUUGCAGGGGAGACUGGAAUUCCCGGUGUAGCGGUGAAAUGCGCAGAUAUCGGGAGGAACACCAGCGGCGAAGGCGGCACUCUGGGCUGGUACUGACGCUGAGGAGCGAAAGCGUGGGGAGCGAACAGG
rnacentral:rRNA from 1 species